GCAUAAUAAUUUGCCUUUUAAUUAAAGGCUAGAAUGAAUGGAUACACGAAAAUAUUUCUGUCUCUUCUCUACUAUCAUAAAUUGGUGUUUAGGUGAAGAAACCUAAAUAUUAUUAAAGGACAAAAAGACCCUAUUGAGCUUUAUCUUAAAAUAAAAAUAUAAAAUAUAUUAUUCAAUUAAAUAUAUAAAGAUUAUGUUGGGGCGACAAAGGAAUAUAUAAAUCUUCCUUAAAUUCUAAGAAACACAUAUCUCCAAAAGACCCUUUAAAAGGAUCAACGAAACAAGCUACCAUAGGGAUAACAGGCUAAUUAUUUUUAAAAGUCCAAAUUGACAAAAUAGAUUGGCACCUCGAUGUUGGCUUAGGGUACCCUAUAAGUGCAGAAGCUUUUAAAGGUUGGUUUGUUCAACCAUAAAAACCCU
rnacentral:rRNA from 1 species